CCAGACUCCUACGGGAGGCAGCAGUGGGGGAUAUUGCACAAUGGGGGAAACCCUGAUGCAGCGACGCCGCGUGAGGGAAGACGGCCUCCGGGUUGUAAACCUCUGUCGCAGGGGACGAAGGAAGUGACGGUACCCUGUGAGGAAGCCACGGCUAACUACGUGCCAGCAGCCGCGGUAAUACGUAGGUGGCGAGCGUUGUCCGGAAUUACUGGGUGUAAAGGGAGCGUAGGCGGGAGUGCAAGUUGAAUGUAUAAACUACCGGCUUAACCGGUAGAAGCGUUCAAAACUGCACUUCUUGAGUGAAGUAGAGGCAGGCGGAAUUCCUAGUGUAGCGGUGAAAUGCGUAGAUAUUAGGAGGAACACCAGUGGCGAAGGCGGCCUGCUGGGCUUUAACUGACGCUGAGGCUCGAAAGCGUGGGUAGCAAACAGGAUUAGAUACCCCUGUACU
rnacentral:rRNA from 1 species